rnacentral:rRNA from 1 species
GGGUAACGGCCUACCAAGGCAACGAUCAGUAGCCGACCUGAGAGGGUGAUCGGCCACACUGGAACUGAGACACGGUCCAGACUCCUACGGGAGGCAGCAGUGGGGAAUAUUGGGCAAUGGGGGAAACCCUGACCCAGCAACGCCGCGUGAAGGAAGAAGGUUUUCGGAUCGUAAACUUCUAUCCCGGGUGAAGAUAAUGACGGUAGCCCGGAAGGAAGCCCCGGCUAACUACGUGCCAGCAGCCGCGGUAAUACGUAGGGGGCAAGCGUUGUCCGGAAUGAUUGGGCGUAAAGGGCGCGUAGGCGGCCAACUAAGUCUGGAGUGAAAGUCCUGCUUUUAAGGUGGGAAUUGCUUUGGAAACUGGAUGGCUUGAGUGUAGGAGAGGUUAGUGGAAUUCCCGGUGUAGCGGUGAAAUGCGUAGAGAUCGGGAGGAACACCAGUGGCGAAGGCGACUAACUGGACUAUGACUGACGCUGAGGCGCGAAAGUGUGGGGAGCAAACAGGAUUAGAUACCCUGGUAGUCCACACUGUAAACGAUGAAUGCUAGGUGUAGGGGGUAUCGACCCCUUCUGUGCCGGAGUAAACACAAUAAGCAUUCCGCCUGGGGAGUACGGCCGCAAGGUUGAAACUCAAAUGAAUUGACGG